AUACGGAGGAUCCGAGCGUUAUCCGGAUUUAUUGGGUUUAAAGGGUGCGCAGGCGGCCAUUUAAGUCAGCGGUUAAAUCGUGGGGCUCAACCCCAUUCUGCCGUUGAUACUGGGUGGCUUGAUUGCGGUCGAGGUUGGCGGAAUUCGUUGUGUAGCGGUGAAAUGCAUAGAUAUGACGAAGAACACCGAUUGCGUAGGCAGCUGACCAGACCGCAAAUGACGCUCAUGCACGAAAGUGCGGUGAUCGAACAGGAUUAGAUACCCUGGUAGUCCGCACAGUAAACGAUGAAUACUUGUUUUCGGCGAUAUAAUGUCGGAGGCAAAGCGAAAGCGAUAAGUAUUCCACCUGGGGAGUACGCCGGCAACGGUGAAACUCAAAUGAAUUGACGGGG
rnacentral:rRNA from 1 species